rnacentral:rRNA from 1 species
CCUACGGGAGGCAGUAGUGGGGAAUAUUGGACAAUGGGGGGAACCCUGAUCCAGCCAUGCCGCGUGUGUGAAGAAGGCCCUCGGGUUGUAAAGCACUUUCAGUGAGGAAGAACGCCUGGUGGUUAAUACCCAUCAGGAAAGACAUCACUCACAGAAGAAGCACCGGCUAACUCCGUGCCAGCAGCCGCGGUAAUACGGAGGGUGCGAGCGUUAAUCGGAAUUACUGGGCGUAAAGCGCGCGUAGGUGGCUUGAUAAGCCGGUUGUGAAAGCCCCGGGCUCAACCUGGGAACGGCAUCCGGAACUGUCAAGCUAGAGUGCAGGAGAGGAAGGUAGAAUUCCCGGUGUAGCGGUGAAAUGCGUAGAGAUCGGGAGGAAUACCAGUGGCGAAGGCGGCCUUCUGGACUGACACUGACACUGAGGUGCGAAAGCGUGGGUAGCAAACAGGAUUAGAUACCCCAGUAGUC